GCAGGACUAACACAUGCAGUCGAGCGCGCCCUUCGGGGUGAGCGGCGGACGGGUGAGUAACGCGUGGGAAUCUACCUGGUAGUGGGGGACAACAGUCGGAAACGACUGCUAAUACCGCAUACGCCCUUCGGGGGAAAGUGGGGGAUCUUCGGACCUCACGCUAUCAGAUGAGCCCGCGUCGGAUUAGCUUGUUGGUGAGGUAAAGGCUCACCAAGGCGAUGAUCCGUAGCUGGUCUGAGAGGAUGACCAGCCACACUGGGACUGAGACACGGCCCAGACUCCUACGGGAGGCAGCAGGGGGGAAUAUUGGACAAUGGGGGCAACCCUGAUCCAGCCAUGCCGCGUGUGUGAAGAAGGCCUUCGGGUUGUAAAGCACUUUCAGCUGUGAGGAAAGGCGAGUGGUUAAUACCCGCUUGCUGUGACGUUAACAGCAGAAGUAGGACCGGCUAACUCCGUGCCAGCAGCCGCGGUAAUACGGAGGGUCCGAGCGUUAAUCGGAAUUACUGGGCGUAAAGCGCGCGUAGGUGGUUCAGUCAGUCAGAUGUGAAAGCCCCGGGCUCAACCUGGGAACUGCACCUGAUACUGCUGAGCUAGAGUACGGUAGAGGGUAGUGGAAUUUCCGGUGUAGCGGUGAAAUGCGUAGAGAUCGGAAGGAACGCCAGUGGCGAAGCGACUACCUGGACCGAUACUGACACUGAGUGCGAAAGCGUGGGUAGCAAACAGGAUUAGAUACCCUGGUAGUCCACGCCGUAAACGAUGUCAACUAGCGCUGGGGGACUUGAUCCUUUAGUGGCGAAGCUUACGCGAUAAGCUGACCGCUGGGGAGUACGCCGCUAGGUUACAACUCAAUGAAUUGACCGAA
rnacentral:rRNA from 1 species